rnacentral:rRNA from 1 species
GUAGGUGGCAAGCGUUGUCCGGAAUUAUUGGGCGUAAAGCGCGCGCAGGCGGUCCUUUAAGUCUGAUGUGAAAGCCCACGGCUCAACCGUGGAGGGUCAUUGGAAACUGGGGGACUUGAGUACAGAAGAGGAAAGCGGAAUUCCAAGUGUAGCGGUGAAAUGCGUAGAGAUUUGGAGGAACACCGAAGUGGCGAAGGCGGCUUUCUGGUUCUGUAACUGACGCUGAGGCGCGAAAGCGUGGGGAGCGAAACAGGGAUUAGAUACCGUGGUAGUCCACGCCGUAAACGAUGAGUGCUAAGUGUUAGGGGUUUCCCGCCCCGUUUAGUGCUGCAGCUAACGCAUUAAGCACUCCGCCUGGGGAUACGGCCGCAAGGCUG